rnacentral:rRNA from 1 species
UACGUAGGGGGCGAGCGUUGUCCGGAUUUAUUGGGCGUAAAGAGCGUGUAGGCGGUUCGGUAAGGCUGUCGUGAAAUCCUGAGGCUCAACCUCGAGCUGUCGGCGGAAACCAUCUGGCUAGAGUCCGGAAGAGGAGAGUGGAAUUCCUGGUGUAGCGGUGAAAUGCGCAGAUAUCAGGAAGAACACCUAUGGCGAAGGCAGCUCUCUGGGACGGUACUGACGCUGAGACGCGAAAGCGUGGGGAGCGAACAGG